AACGAACGCUGGCGGCAUGCCUAACACAUGCAAGUCGAACGAGACCUUCGGGUCUUGUGGCGCACGGGUGCGUAACGCGUGGGAACCUGCCCUUAGGUUCGGAAUAACUCCCCGAAAGGGGUGCUAAUACCGGAUAAUGUCUUCGGACCAAAGAUUUAUCGCCUUUGGAUGGGCCCGCGUUGGAUUAGCUAGUUGGUAGGGUAAAAGCCUACCAAGGCGACGAUCCAUAGCUGGUCUGAGAGGAUGAUCAGCCACACUGGGACUGAGACACGGCUCAGACUCCUACGGGAGGCAGCAGUGGGGAAUAUUGGACAAUGGGCGAAAGCCUGAUCCAGCAAUGCCGCGUGAGUGAUGAAGGCCUUAGGGUUGUAAAGCUCUUUUACCCGGGAUGAUAAUGACAGUACCGGGAGAAUAAGCUCCGGCUAACUCCGUG
rnacentral:rRNA from 1 species